GCCGGCAGCCGAAGAAGUAGGGGGGAAGCGAUGUUUGUCCUUAUUUAUUGUAUUGAGCGGGUAGGGAGGAGGGUAGAUAAAUCAAGAGAGAAAUUAAACAAACCACGGGGUAGACAUGGUUGAGGAAUUUAGUAGUGCAGGAGAGGAAGCAGAAUUCAUGAGGAAUGUAUGGAAGAAAUGGAAAUAUAUUACAACGAACGUCGAGAAGAAACUUUCUGGAUGGGCCCUGACGAGAGGUGUGCAAAAAGGGUAGGGAACAACAGGAUUAGAUACCUAGUUCUCCACUCAGCGAUGUAUAAUCGCUGUGGGAGGUAUAGACCCCUUCAGCGGCUCAGCAAA
rnacentral:rRNA from 1 species